AUACCCGCUGAACUUAAGCAUAUCAAUAAGCCGGAGGA
rnacentral:rRNA from 1 species